CUUCUGGAGCAUCUCCUGCAUCCGCCGCAGCUGGAAGGGAGCAGAGCCGGGAUCGCGGAUGGUGCCAAGCCCCAGCCACGCACCUCCCGUGCUGAGCAUCCCGGACAAACCGGGAUGGCCAGGAGCUGGGGCAGCGGCUACCCCUGCGUGCAGCUCCAGCCCCUGCUGGUUGGGAUGCUGCAGGAAGGCUGUGCCAUCACAUCCCGACGGCUGUGCUAUCACACACAGCCGGGGCUGGAGGGAGCGGGGCUGGGGGCUCAGCCCGCCCCACACUCACCUCCUCAUCCUUCUCCCGGAUCAGCUUCUCCGUCUCCGUGUCCGGCACCGGGGGGAUCACGGGGAUGGGGAAGUCUGUCCCGCUCUCCCGGGUCAGCUUGCUGCGGGCAGAGAGAGGAGGUGAAGGUGCCGGGGAUGUUCCCCCGCGGAUGUCCCGAGCCCUGCAGUCCCCGGCACCCCCUGCACAGCCCCUGGGCCCUAUGGCCACUCCCUGGCAAGGGACAUGCGAGCAGUACCAGGCACCCCCCAAAUCUCAGCACCCUCAACCUGCCAUGCACCAGCCAAGGGGGGACCCGCGCCCUCCCGUUUUGGGGAGAAUCCCACUGGAGUUGGGCUUUCCUGGGCCAGUAUUUGCCCUGCUGCUUUAAAACACCAAAACCUCGGCAUUUCCCCUCUGUCCCUCGUCUCAGGACAAGCUCUCCAGGCGUUCCCUGCCCUGCGAGCCCCGGGGAUGCUGCACCCCCUUUUCCCGAGCUCUGCCCGCAUUCGAGGCCAUCCGUGCUGGGGAGAGCCGCGAGCAUCCCCCCGAGCCCCGGGCACGGCGCGGGUCGAUGGCAGCUCCGUGCCCGCGGCCCUGGGAGGAACCAGCUCUGCGGGUCCCCGCGGAUGCCACGUGCCACCCCAGCGGGUGACAGGGCCGGGACAGCGCCAGCCCCCGCGGGGACACGAGUGCUGCCCCGUGCCGCGGCCAGCGCGGCCCCUGCGGGCCAGGGGCGAUGGGCACGGGUGGGCACGGGCAGGACAGCCCAUCCAUCCCUGCCAGCCCAUCCAUCCCUGCCAGC
rnacentral:lncRNA from 1 species